GACGAACGCUGGCGGCGUGCUUAACACAUGCAAGUCGAACGGAAAGGCCCUGCUUUUGUGGGGUGCUCGAGUGGCGAACGGGUGAGUAACACGUGAGUAACCUGCCCUUGACUUUGGGAUAACUUCAGGAAACUGGGGCUAAUACCGGAUAGGAGCUCCUGCUGCAUGGUGGGGGUUGGAAAGUUUCGGCGGUUGGGGAUGGACUCGCGGCUUAUCAGCUUGUUGGUGGGGUAGUGGCUUACCGAGGCUUUGACGGGUAGCCGGCCUGAGAGGGUGACCGGCCACAUUGGGACUGAGAUACGGCCCAGACUCCUACGGGAGGCAGCAGUGGGGAAUAUUGCACAAUGGGCGGAAGACUGAUGCAGCAACGCCGCGUGCGGGAUGACGGCCUUCGGGUUGUAAACCGCUUUCGCCUGUGACGAAGCGUGAGUGACGGUAAUGGGUAAAGAAGCACCGGCUAACUACGUG
rnacentral:rRNA from 1 species